UUGGGCGACCAUACCACGUUGAAAGCACUGGUUCUCGUUCGACCACUGCAGUGAAGCAACGUUGGGCCCGGUCAGUACUUGCAUGGGUGAACGGGUGUCUCAGGCUUUAGCCCCCA
rnacentral:rRNA from 1 species